GCAUGGAGUCAUAAGCAACUGAUGGCACCGUACCAGUUGUUAUGUUGUGUAACUAAAGAGUUCUAGCACAAUAAAACAAAGAUUCAGUAACGAAAACCAAUGUGUAAUGUUGAUAAUAAGGUGCAGACAGAUUGACUCAGAAACUUUCUUCUUCACUUUCCACAAACAGAUAACAAAUUGGAGAGAUGAAUACAGCACAAACAACUCUACCUACCAGAUGAUCUCCAUCAUUGUCGCUGGUAACUCUGCAUAAACUCUAACACUCACACCUCCUCAGCAGUCCCUCUUCUGAUUGGAGAAGUUAGAGGGUGAAUAUUAGAAUGCUCUUCCUUGAUCUGCCAUUUAAGGAGGGCUGCCAGGGCAGCAUUUCAUCGUUUGCCACCUGGCUGCAGCACCAGGAGGUCUCUGCCGACCCAGGAUUAUUUCAUGAUGAAGAAACUGGAUUACAGAGUGCUGAUCCCAACUGAAAUGUACUGUUAAAAAAAAAUAAACUAUUUUUACAAAAUUGUUGGAGAAUCAAUAUUCGG